CAAUUCAGUCCUUAGGCGGAGUGGAGGUGGGGGGAUGGGGAGUUCUCAUUUCUUGAAGGGUUAAAGAGAAAGUUCCGCUGUUGGUGUGUCAAAGCAAACUUUAUCAAAGUUAAAAUGUUUCGAUGCUUUUUUCUCACCUGGGUGGGAGGAAAGUCCCUGGCCUCAGGGAGAAAGUGGGUGGUCAUCUUAAAUUAACAAAAUCAAAUAACUUGAAUCUAUUCAACAAAAUUUGCAGACUUUUGCUGAGCUCCCAGGGUGUGCCAGGCACCUUUCCAGGACCUUGGGUCAUCCCGUUGUCAUGUCUUGCGCACAGCUAGGACCUGGACACCAUCCUGGCAGAGAAUAGGGUCACCCCUUCUCAGGGAAGCAGAGAGGCAUAGAAUAUUCCAUUAGUAAGGGGACCUGGGCUGAAAUGAGCUCAGACUCCUACUUCAUCGAGUGGACCAGACUCAGAAAUGUGCUUUUCAGGUACAGAGGGAGGAAUUGAGGGUGUGGGGCUGCUGAGGUGUGAAUAAGCACAGAAGUCUGCAGAGCACCUCUUCAGGGGCCGGCAAGGCUGCCUGCUGCAUUGUAUGCAGAAGUGGGAGUGGGUGGAAUUUACCAGUGGGGGCUGUACAGGGCCUUAGGGUCAGGCCAGAGGUUUGGACUUUCUUUAUUCUGCAGAUACUUGCAGGGUGGUGAAAGGGCUUUGAAAAGGGGUGUAACUGAAUCAAAGCAUUGUUUUAAGAAGGUAAAUUUGCCCUCAGCGAUCAAGGUGAGUUGAAACUAGGAGAGGCUGGAGAUAGGUCAGGUCAGUAGCAAAAGGUGAAAAGACGCACUUUGAAAGAGUGUUCGGCUGUAUUUGAUGACUGCUGAUGAACGCUGUUGGAAUUUUAUUAAGAAUUCUAAGAAGCCAGGGCCUUCUGAGUACUGGAUGAAUCAGAGGGAAGAAGGCUACCAUGUUUCAGCUACAAAUCAGCAAAUCAGCUCUUAAAACAAAUAUGCAAUAGGUCAUGGAACUAACAUUCAUUUACUUAAGUUGAUCCCCUCUGCUGACAUUAAUGAGAAUUAAUCAAGGUCACCUCAUGUUCAUAUUAGCUUCUGCCUCAGAAAGGCAGAGAUCUCUGUUCCAUGAGCUCAGACAGGAAGACUUGCUAAUUCACUUUGUUUCCCCCUCCUUCUGGGCGAAUCCGUGCCGUCUGUUCCUCCCUUUCUUAUACACACACACGAUCUCAGCCUCAUCGAACCAGUAUUGUUUCCUCUAAGUCUCAUUUAAGCAAGAGACGUGUGGGCACGGAGAUCCAUUUUAAUGCGUCCGGGUCACUCUCCCUGAGCAUCGAUGGAGCAGCUGCUGUGCGCCAGGCCCUGGGUCAGCUCCUGGAGCUGCUCGGAGACUCAGCCCAGGCAAGGCCUGAACAGCCGCCUAGGACUCAUUUCCAUUUGCAUUUUAUGUGCUCAGCAGCACUGCUCUUAAGUCGCCCUAGACUCCCAUCUACGGAAGAGCUCUAAUCACAUCGUGUCUGGCGCAUUUUGCCGCCACUGUGCUUGUAGUUUCUCUGCACAGGCGUGCAUGGUUCACAGCUGGCAAAUGGCUUGUGUCCUGCAAGUGAGUCUGUAAUUCAUAUUCCCAUAGAAACAGUGAUAUGUUUAAUAGCCAGUGCACAUCUACGCUCACACACCCACACCUAUGCAAAACACCUUUGACCAUAAAUUGAACCGUACAUUUAAAAGUUGCAACAUGUCUCAUUUUUCUUUCUGGGAAAAACAUAUUUUGAAUUUCCACAGGGAACUCAACCUCUCUGUAAAGUCUCAGAUUCCCAGAGAAAAAGUUCUUCUUCUUCUUGCCUUGGUGGUAAAAGGUUUCCUCCGCCUCAUUCCUGGGUGGAAGAAGAGGUGGUACCUCUGUACAGAUGUGAGCCUUUCUUCUUCUUGCCCGUUUGUGGCAAUGCUCCUAGGAAGAGAAUCCCUCCCACGGUGGGAAUGGCAAAAGCCAAAUCUGCAGCACAUUAGGCGUUUAUCUUGAGGUGACCUGUGCUCCUACCUCGAACCCAUCAUCUUUGAAGUGGUCUGUACUUCCCAUCUUUCUAAAAUGCGAGUUUGCUGCACUCUCCCCCCAGCUUCUAGUUCCCUUCGAGGUCACUGCCAGACUCUCAGGCUUGGUAUAAUUGGCCCCUCAAGACCUGCUUCCUGCUUACUCUGCCACUUCAUUCUCACCCUGUGUUGAUGCUACAGCCAGAAGCCAGGUUUGCUCCCUCCUUGCUUCUAGAUACACUGCUCCCUCUGCCUGGCAAGCCUUACCCAUUCUCUUCUCGGCUCCUUCGGAUUUGUCCUUGAAGACUCUGCUUGGCAGGCCCUUCCUUUCGGCCACCUCCUGGGAUGCAUCACCCUGUGGCCACUUUAAGUGUGAACGAGGGUAUUCCCUAAUUCUGUAGCACCCUGCCCACAGCUGUCUCGCAACACUCACCCUAAGGCAGGCAGGUGUUCACGUUCGUAUGUGUCUCCCCCAGGAGACUGAACUGCUGGAGAUCAGAGACUAAUCUCUGUGUUCCCCAUGUCCAGCAUCUAGCAUACAAUGCUCACUCAAAUGCACGCUGAAAUAGGGAAAGGAGUAGAUGGAAGAGGGCCUGUCACCUCGAUGACCUGGAAUAACUAGAUGCCAGCGACAGAGUUAACACCUGCAGGGGAAACUGGAACACCUGGGAAGGGCCCUUUGCUGUCAGGUUAGAGGUAUGAGGUGCUGGGAAGGAGGCCCUUAGGUUAGGUCCGACUGGCUCUGAAGGAAUUGCUCUAGAGGGUUACGUGGGCUGGAGAAGGCAGGGGCUGGGGGUAGAAUGUCUCAACCGAGGGUGACUUUUUACCCCCAGGGAACAUUUGACAAUGUCUGGAGAUGGUUUUAGUUGUCACAACCAAGGGGUGGUGGUGAUUGUGGCAUCUAGUGGGUAGAGAUGAGGGAUGCCGGCAGUUGUACUGCAGUACAUGGGAAGCCUCCACCAACAAACAGUUGUCUGGUCCAAAUCAUCUGGUACUGCAUUUGAGAAACCCUGCUGGGUAGUAGUACCAUGAGAAGUUACCUAUGCUCUAUUUUUUUAAGUUCAUGUAAAGCUAAUGAGAUUUGGUAAGGUGUAACUUUUUUUUUUUUUUUUUUUUUGGCCAAACCACACGGCUUCUGGGAUCUUGGCUCCCCGACCAGGGAUUGAACCCGGGCCCUUGGUGGUGAAAGCAUGGAGUCCUAACCACUGGACCACCAGGGAAUUCCCAAGGUGUAACUUUUGAGUCCUAACCACUGGACCACCAGGGAAUUCCCAAGGUGUAACUUUUGGCGUAAGAAAUCUGGAAUCUAGGAGAUGUGAGUUCGAGUCCUGGCAGUAGAAAAGUUAGCUGUGUCUUCUAAGGCAAACACUUCACCUUCCUGGACCUCUUCUCGUUCCACUAAAAUAAGGAGGGUCAGACUAAGGCCCCUUCCAGUUUUAACAGUUCGUAUCUGUGAACCCAGCUCAGAUGUCUGAUUAAGACCACUCAUGAUUUGAAGAGAGUCGUGAUCAUACAGCCUGUUUUUCACAUUGGCUACAUGUCCUUCUGUUCAGGAAUUAGAAGGGUUCCUGAUCCCCUGCUCUAGCAAGACAGCCAGUGACCACCAUGACAACAUCACUUCGGAGGUAUCCAACUGAUCUGUGAGGAUCCUCGGUCUAGGUUUCCAGAUCGGGUCUUGAAUCUCUGUGUCACUGGACUGAACCACCUGUUCUCUUCAAAUGGAAGUGAGGAAAAGGUCAAGUAAGGACAAUGUAUUAAUCCUUCUGGCACCUCCUAGCCAGGCUGCUUGUUCUGUUGUACUUUGGGGAGACGUGUAGGGCUGAGAGUAGAAAUGCCACCUCUUUGGACCCCCUCAUGUGACUCGACCCGUGACUGUGGCCUCCGAGCCUAUGGUAGCCAGACAGGAGCCUCUGAAGUUCAAAAGCAGGCCUGUAUCUUUGCUUGUCUGUUUGUUCCUUGAAUGCUUACGUGGGUUUGUUUAUUCUUCAAGGCACCAAGGGUGCCUUACGGGCAAGCUAGUUCCCUCCUGACGUGGGUAGAAACAGUGUUUGUGUUUAACACGUUCAUAGCCACCUGACAGACAGUCAAAUGUGGAUUUGUGGAUUGCAAGAAACACAGGUCCUUUUCAGCUUUCCUGUCUUUACGCGACAUCUCACCUGAGUGAACAGAACACAGAGACUGGUUGCUGACGGUCUCCAUGUGCCCCCCCUCAGGUGCCCCUGCCUUCGGGGGCACAGUCCUGCUUCAACUUGUUUCUGUCACAUUCCAGACUGAGGGCAGAGUUCUCAAAUGUGCACGCACAAACCCUUGCCCACUGGUCGCAUUAGAUAAAGCUGUAAAUGCUCUUGUGUGCCUGCGUAUAAACCGCCAGGAGAAAGGGGCUGGUACGGAACUAAGCCCUGAUACAAUUUCCGCCAGAAACAAAACAUUGUGGUCUCAGUAUUUUAGGCAGAAAGGUGCUUUUGCCCCUUUCGCUAAAGCUUGGGACCCCAUUAUAAGAUCACAGAGGAAAAUGAGACAGGAAAGGGUUUGAGAUCCUAAACCCUUGUCUGUUAGACCUGCGUGCGGAAAAUGAGGGCUGGUUUGAAAGUUUUCAUUUCUUUCAUUAGCUUAAUGGCUGAGAUGCUACUCUUCAUCUCUGGCUGCUCAGAAGCCAGCAGGCUUAUUCAGAUAUAUCCAACUAUCGGAGUCACCUCAUUCUAUGACUACAUUUAACAGGCAAAAAAAAAAAAAAAAAAGAAGGAGGGGAGAAUAAAAAUGCAAGAACCUAAACUGGGACUAUAAGAAUGCUUUUAGGUCAGCUAGUGUGAAGUUUUCAUUAUAACUUCACAGAUGGUCCAAACAGAUGAAGGGGAGAAAGGAUGGCUACAGAGAUCUGGCAGUCGGCCACUCGUUUUAAUGGUGUUUUCAUUCAUUCAUUCAGCUUUGGAGGGAAAAUGGAGUGAGGAUGAGAAUGAGCCUGGCUAUCUCCCUUGAUCAUCUUCCUGAGAGAUGUACCCGUCUGUGGUGAACAGGAAGAACUUUGCUGGUAAAAUCAGUGUCGGCGGACCGUGUUCAGAUGGGUGGUGAUCACGGCGAUCAUCUUUCUUAAGGUCUUCAGUGGGUUUGGCUGCCUUUUAAAGAAUGGAUUAAUAAAACCUUUCAGCUGUGGGGGGGAAGAGAGAAGCUUACAAUCUCGUAGAGGACACAUGCAUGUAAAUAAAUCAGGGCAGCAGAGUGAGAGGCCUGCAGUAAAGAGAAGAACGCACGGAUGCAACAGAGAUAACAGGAUGCACGAGUGCAGCAGAGACGGACAGGAUGCAGGGAUGCGGCCGAGAGGAGCAGGUGGUAGAGCAUGAAGGAUUGCCGUGUGUUGAGGAGGAGGUUGGGGCGAAUGAAGGGCUAACACUUAAGACGCUCCUUCUUCCAUUCGGUUUCACUCCGUUAUCUGUGUAGCUGCUGCAAAGCAAACAGAGCGGGAAUUGCAACGUCAAGGCACGGCUCCACCAGCGGCUCCUCGUCCUGCACACCUUCCCUGCCGGCUGGAACGCUUGCCCUUGAGCGUGGAGUGUGAGGCUCGUCGUAGAACGGCUCACCUGCCCACACUUUUCUGUUGCACUGCCCUCCAAACAGCCCUUCCUGCUAGCCAGACGGGUGAGAACAAGGUGUGUUGUCAACACUCCGAGGCUUUUCCUUGCUCCCGGAUGCCCUCCGAGCCCACCUGCUCCACCUGUGACAUGUCUCAAGAUUCCACUGAAACGGUGGAGGACAAAUGUAUGGACGCCAAAGGGGAAGGUGGUGGGAUGGGCGGAAUUAAGAGACUGGGAUUGACACACAUACAUUAUUGAUAACUAUGUAUAAAAUAGACAACUGAUGGGAACACACUGCAUAGCACAGGGAACUCUACCUAAUGCGCUGUG